GAGGCAGGGAGGGAGCGGGGAGAAGAGGCGCUGGCUCGCCGCCUGCUCGCUUCUCGGUCCGGCGGCUCCGCGGCGCUGCCGGUGCAGCUCAGCCGGCGCCGGAGCGCAUGGGGAGGCGGCGCUGAGCGGGCUGCCCUCCGCGGGGCCGGCGGGCACGGGCAGCGGCGCCGCGGGAGAGCGAUGCCCCUCACUUUCCUGCCUGCGCUGCCCUUCCUCCUCCUCCUCUUCCUCUACCCUUUGAAGCUUUUGUUUUCCGCGGCCGCCUCGACGGCAGGAAACUUCCCGGAGGAAUGGGCUUCGUCCGGGCUCGCGCUGCGCGGGGCUCUGCAGGACGUCGGCCACGCUGCGAGGUUAUUUGGAAAAGGAAUGAUUUGCUGAGCAGGACAGCACAAGAUGACUUAUGAUUCCUAUUCUUCACGGCAGCCUGUCUGGAUUCAUAUGCUUUUUUUUCCCAUUGUCAAAAUUGGUAUGUAGUGACUGCAUGUAUAAUCCAAAGUUCCACUUAAAAUUUAGGAAGCAAAGUAUUUAGGAAGGUUCUAACUCGAUACUUUUAUUUUA
rnacentral:lncRNA from 7 species